rnacentral:rRNA from 1 species
UGGUGCCAGCAGCUGCGGUUAUACCCUGCGUAAUAUAAAAGAUAUUCGGUUUUGUAGUUAUGUGUUUUUUUAAUUUCUUUUUAUUAAGUUUAGGUGGAAGUGGAAUUUUUAAGUAAAGGUUAAUAUAAUGUUGCGUUGAAGAUUUGCAAAAGCUAUUAAAAUUUGGGCAUAAACUAGGAUUAGAUACCCUAUUAUACCAAUUCUAUAACAAAUUGCUGGAGUAGUAAUUAGUUAUGGUCUUUAAAUUCAAAGGAUUUGGCGGCACUCAAGUCUAGUCAGAGGAACCUGUACUAUAAGCGAUAGUCCACGUAGUAUCUUACUUUAUUUUGUUUACCAGUUUGUAUACCUCCAUUAUAAAAUAAUAUUUAAAACUAUUUAUUAAAAUGAAGUAUUUUAGUAUAUUAGGUCAAGGUGCAGCUGAUAGUAAAGUAGUUAUGGGUUACAUUAUAUUUUAUAUAGAUGAAUAUGAUUUUAAAUUAAGGUUGUUGAAGGUGGAUUUGAUAGUAAUCCUGUUUUAAUAAGGCAGGUUGAUAUCAGCUCUAGGGUGUGUACAUAUCGCCCGUCGCUCUUGUUCUAAAAUGAGAUAAGUCGUAACAAAGUAGGA